AUCGCUGGAGAGAGGGAGCCAGCCACCGGGAAGCGCCAGGCCGGUGAACCGGAUUGCUCCGGCGGUGAGUAUGAAUAGGCCGAGUCUUAUAAACCGGGUCUGGAGGCAGCCUCUCCGUGCCGCUGUGAGCGCCGUCCCCGGGGGGGCCCACAGCUUGCUGCUGGUGCAGUGCUGUGUUUUUGACUUCAGCCUGAGAACAACGCUGAGUGAAAACAUCAGUUCCUGGAACAGUAGAACUGAAGCCAUGGAGCAACAAAUUCCAGCUGUUUCUCAAGGAUCAAUCCACCAUGUUUUGAGGAUGUUGAGGAGCCUUGGUGCAGUGUUUGAAUGCUUCUGGGAACAGUUGGCAUCCUAGCCAGUCUGCAUGCUGCAGGGAUGUUUCUUGCCCAAAUGUGGCACCAAUAGUGGAGUAGACACACGUGGCUGGACAUCCCAAAUACAAGAUUACUUUAGCACCAUUUCAAAGUGAUUUGUACUGUAAGAAAAUUCUGGAUAUGCUGCCACUUCAUUAGCUCUGUGCUGUGUGCUAAAGAAGAUGAGGAGAAUGACCAGGGAAAAGAGUGCAGCGUGAAGUGCUACUGUGACACUUACGUGACAGGCUUUUCAUUCAAUCCUAACUAGUGUUGACAAAUGACUUAUGUUUCUGCAGAAUAGGAAAUUCAGUCAUCAUGUUGCUUAAAUCUAUAAAGAAGAAAUAUCCUGUGGCUUAGGAGUGGAGAGAAAGAACUAAUUUGGUGAUUCUUCCACUGGAUGCAGCUUUCGGCACACUCGACAGAUACCAGUGCAUCACCUAAUCCUUGGUGUUAUGAAGUGGGCUAGAAAUGUGAAAAACCCAUUAAGAUUGGCCUGUCAUCAAGGUAGGAGUUAAAAAUCCAUUAUUAAAAUGUAUAUAUAGUUGUCAUAGAUACUAUGGGAUGUCCACAGAAACACCCAUGCUAACGAGCACCUGCAACCCAACUGUGAGAAAUAGUAGGGUUACCUUGAAAAAGAAAAGGCUACCUUGCUUAUAUAGAAAAAAAUAAAGGGCAACUUUCACCUGUCAAGAAGAAAA
rnacentral:lncRNA from 1 species